UGCCUACGGGGGGCAGCAGUGGGGAAUAUUGCACAAUGGGGGAAACCCUGAUGCAGCAACGCCGCGUGAGUGAAGAAGUCAUUCGAGAUGUAAAGCUCUAUCAGCAGGGAAGAAAAUGACGGUACCUGAGUAAGAAGCCCCGGCUAACUACGUGCCAGCAGCCGCGGUAAUACGUAGGGGGCAAGCGUUAUCCGGAAUUAUUGGGUGUAAAGGGUGCGUAGACGGAAGAACAAGUUGGUUGUGAAAUCCCUCGGCUCAACUGAGGAACUGCAACCAAA
rnacentral:rRNA from 1 species